rnacentral:lncRNA from 1 species
UCGGGUCGUGUUCUGACAGCUAGCACUCCACUCUUGUUUGCUGCGUGCGUUCGUCGCUUGGCCCGCUUGCUGUUCUCGCAAAAGCGCGGGGCAGAGGAGAGAAAGAAGCCUCUCGUUCUCCGAGAGAGACGCAGAGGCCGCAGUCAGGGCCUGGAUAUACUCGGAGGCUCGGCUUCUCCUCUGGGUGCUCCUUGUUGCUUCCAGGGAAAGUUUAGUCUGGAUCUGAGGCCUCGUGGCGCUCUUCCUGGUUUUUCAAUUUUGGUGGAGAAAUAGAGUUUGUGGUGAAGUAAAUGGCACCGCUGGAAUCCAAACCCUAAUGAAGCAGAGUCUCUUCUUAACCACUGUCUAUACUAAAGGUAAUUUAAAACAGGGUGCAGACAACAGGAAAGCAACAACUCUGGUUUGGUCACCGUGGUGGUCUUGCCCGGCACAUGGUGGGAGUCCAGCCAGAGCUGAUGGGAGCACCACAGGCAUCUCCCCUGAUGCAGGGUAAAUUGCAGAAGCCGUGGUACCAGCCCGCAUCCAUGACCCCACAGAUAUUCCCCUUCUCCAAGUGGACUGACCCAGGCCUUUUACAAACACAGAAGGAUCUUGUGCAAGAUGAAUUCUAGUACUAGCUACUAAAAGAUCUCUUCACACAAAAGGCAAUAUUCCUGAAUUUGUAUUGGUCCAGGCAUUCGAGAAUCAAGAUGUUUUCCUGUUUCCAUGGAAGCAGAGUUCAUUUGGCUGGGAUGUUCUGAGCUUUUGCUUCCAGACCUUUGAUGCGGGGGCAUGUUGUCUUCAGCAGAGGCUCUGGCCAAGUCAGAUGCCCACGUGUCUCUGCUUGGUGAAGCCGAAUGCCUCGCCAUGACUCUGGAGAAGCUCUUUAAGUGUCUGAUGCAGUGGGAAGAGCUGAGCCACAGCUUGAUACCAGUGUUGGGCCCCAGAGUCCCCAUAUGCUGCCUCUCAAGGGUGGUAUUCAAAGUGGGUUGUUGUUCUUGUUGUUGUUUUGGUCACAUCCCAGGCGUAACUGCAGUACAACAUCACAGCCAGGAUGCUGACAUUGAUAAUCCUCCUAUCUCAUUCACAUUUCCCCGUUUUACUUGUAAUGUGUGUGUGUGUGUGUGUGUGUGUGUGUGUUUGUAUUUAGUUCUUUGACGUUUUAUCACAUGUGCAGAUUAAUGUAUCUGCUACAGUCAAGAUAUAGAACACCUGAAUCCUUUGUGUUGCUCUUUGGUACCCACCUCCUCCCCAUCCCUCCACCCCAACACCUGGCAACCACUGAGCUAGUCUCCAUACUGCAAAUUUUGUGAUAUCAUUUGUUACAUAGAUGGAAUUGCCUAUUGCAUAGCUUUGGCGGAAUGGCUUUUCAUUUUCCCCCUCAAAACAUAUUUCUUUACAAUUACUACAAGCUGUUGCAUGUAUCAGUAGUUUUCUUUCUUUCUUUCUUUCUUGCUUGCUUCCUUCCUUCCUUCCUUUCUUUUUUUUUUUGGCUGAACCAGUAGUGGCAGGCAGAAGUUCUGGGACCAGGGAUCGAACCCAAGCCAUAGCAGUAACCAAAGCCACAGCAGUGACAAUGCUGUACCCUCAACUCUCUGAGCCAGCAGGACUCUCCUCAAAGUGUGUUUUUUUUUUUUUUCCUUUCUUUUUAGGGCCACACCCACAGCAUAUGGAAGUUCCUGGGCUAGGGGUCAAAUUGGAGCUGCAGCUGCUGGGUUACACCACAGCCACGGCAAUGUGGGAUCCAAGCUGUGUCUGCAACCUGCACCAUGACUCACAACAACACCCAGAUCCUUAACGCACUAAAUAAGUGCAGGGAUCGAACCCUUAUCCUCAUGGAUACUAGUUGGGUUCAUAAUCACUGAGCCACAAUGGGAAGCCCCCAAAGUGGGGUUUUGGAAGAUAGUAGGAUUAUUCUAGGCUCAGAUUAAAGUCAGGUGGGUAAGCAUCAUUGCACAGGGAGGAAAAAGUGUGAGCCAGAUGGUGAAGGCAGGAAAGUUAGAGCCCUCUUUGGGAAGGAGAUGGCGAUAUUGUAGGAACCAGCUUGGGGUUUGUUUGGGAGGGACAGCAGCAGGCUCUCUCCCUGCCUCCUAUCACUUCCCUAUGUCCUUCCUGUGAUUUGGGGGCCUCUGUGGUGCAUGGCCACCUGUAUGCAGGCAGCACCAGCAUCUUGUCCCUCUUGCUCUGUCUCAGGGCUCUCUCCUGGGUCCAGGAGAGCACUCAGCCUGCUUGCAGGAGCAUCUCAGCCCGCAGGCAGCCCCCAGCCCAGGGGAGGAGGGUUGGUGGACCACACCAUGACAUGUGGUCUACACACGUCCUUUGAGGGGUGAGCCCAGUGCCCACAGUGGUAACCAGUGCGAUAACGCUGUUUAACCCUUUCGAUACCCUCACACUUGCCUGGGCUCAUCUUGCAAAGAAGUCACCUGCAUGUGAUUUAUGAGCAUGGAGGAAACUACUGAAGGGUACGCGGUUGUUGGGAUGAUUGCUUGGUGCAGCGUAGGGAAGGUAAGCAGGAGAGGGAAUGGGCAUAAAAUAUACUCAAACCAAACAAAACUACCCAUUAGACACAGCAUGCUGAGUUUUUUGUUUGUUUGUUUUUGUUUUUGCCUUUUUCUUUUUGCCUUUUAGGGCUGCACUUGGAGCAUAUGGAUGUUCCCAGACUAGGAGUUGAACCAGAGCUGUAGCUGUUGGCCUACGCUGCAGCCACAGCAAUGCCAGAUCCGAGCUGAGUCUGUGACCCACACCACAGCUCAUGGCAAUGCUGGAUCUCCAAUCCAGUGAGCGAAGCCAGGGAUCGAACCUGCAUCCCCAUGGAUACUAGUUGAAUUCAUUUCUGCUGGACCGCGACGGGAACUCCCACAUGCUGGGUUCUUUGAUAGACAAUCUGUAAGGAAAAGAGAAAGGUAGAGAGGAAACCUAUGCCGAGAAGAAAUGAAGACUUCUCAAAAAACUUUUUAAUUAAAAAAAAUUAUUGAUUUAUUUAUUUUUGGCCAUGCCUGAGGCACGUGGAAGGUCCUGGGCCAGGGAUUGAACCUUGCACCACAGCAGUGACAACAUCAGAUUCUUAACUGCUAGGCCACCAGGGAACUCUCAAAAUUUUUUUUAAAUGGACCAGACCAAGCUAUAGUGUUUAGGAUUUCAUAGUUGAGUGAUAAGACCAUAAAGAAACACAAAGAAGGGAGUAUCACUGAAGUCACAAUAGUGAUUACUUUUUUUAAAGGGAGACAGGUAGUGGCUAUCAUGGGACAUUUGAUGGAAAUUUCUAAGCUGCAAAGUUCUAUUUUUUUGAUCUGGGUGGUAGUUAUAAUAAUUCAUUGAAGAGUACAUUUAUUUUGAAUAGUUUUUCUGCAUUUGUAUUCUAUUUUACUUUGCAAAAGAAAG